rnacentral:rRNA from 1 species
UACGUAGGGUGCAAGCGUUAAUCGGAAUUACUGGGCGUAAAGCGUGCGCAGGCGGUUAUGCAAGACAGAUGUGAAAUCCCCGGGCUCAACCUGGGAACUGCAUUUGUGACUGCAUCGCUGGAGUGCGGCAGAGGGGGAUGGAAUUCCGCGUGUAGCAGUGAAAUGCGUAGAUAUCGGGAGGAACACCAGUGGCGAAGGCGACUACCUGGCCUGUUCUUGACGCUGAGGCGCGAAAGCUGGGGGAGCAAACGGG